GAAAUGGUGGAUAGACACAUUCUCAACUGCUCAGAGGUUAAGAAGGCAGGUUUUGGGAUGAACCAAAUGAAGGUUCCUUGUCACAUACGACUGAAGUGCAAGUGUUCUUCGUUUCCUGAAGCUCAUCUCAUCUUUCAAAGGGAGAUUUACACAGGACAUUAAAGAUCUGGUCAUCAGCCUUGAGAAGAAGCCAUACUACAGAAAUCCAUCUAUUUUAUAAAGCCACUCACCUGUGUACAAAGACUCUCAAUCAACACAUCUGAACUAGGUAAACAGAGUAAACCGAUAACAUGGCAGUUUGCCCCUUGCUUCUUCCUCAUGAUACCUUGAAUAUUAUAAGUGCUAAGAACCAUCUGAUGCGUGGGGCAGGGUGGGACCACCACCAAGCUAGUAAUGUUGGGCACUCGGAUGUUUUCCUAGGAGUACACUUUUUGCCUCUUUCUUAGUAUUCCAUGAAGGCCUUUGAGCUGGGCUCCGCCUAUUCACUUGACCCCUACAACAGCUUAGAAAUUGGUAACCUCAGCUAGGUGUACACUUCUAGAGAGGCUUAGGAACUGGUAGCUGAAUGGAUGAAUUAUCAGAUGUCCUCACAGCAGCAUACUUCUAAUUCUUUAUAUGUAUUUCAAAAGAAGGUAUAAAAACACACCAACUAUCAAAUUUGAUCUAAAUUCUGAAAGUUUAAUAACCUAUACAGGCAAAGCAAAUAAAUAAACUAUUUUGGGAGCUGUAAUUUAUCACCACCACCACCACCACCACCACCAUCAUUGGGGGAAUCAUAAGUGACUAAAUAUCACUUAUCAAAUACCAAAAGUACCCAUUGCAUGUUACAUUAUUUUAAAUGAGAAAGCUUAGCCAGUGUAUAAAACGUAAUAUAGUUAGUUUACCAGUUUCUAGUCUAUGAAAAUUUCCUGUGAAUUUGGGGCUCUAAGCCAGGAGGUGGUAGCACACGCCUUUAAUCCCAGCGCUUGAGGGACAAAGGCAGGCAGAUCUCUGUGAAUUCAAGGCCAGCCUGGUCUCAAAAAACAAACUAGAAGAACAAAAAAACAUUGGGGCUCUACCAUCCACCAGUCACUUCUAAUGAAAAAUGUGCCCAUUUUCCUUCCAGCAUCAUCUGGAUUGGUGCCAGUAGUCUCCGAGUACCAUUCUCGGUAUGAAAUGAACGUUUGUAAAUGAAGUCUAAUUAAAUGUCGCGCUUUACAGGAAGCGCUGUGUGCUACGGCUCUGCUCUUUCUGUUUGCCAUUAUCAGCGCUCCUGUUUAGGCAAAGUCCUGUGGUUCAGGAAGCAGCCACUUAGCGAUAGCAACUUAAUAAAGAGUAUUCACGGCUCUUAUUUUAAGAAACGCAGAAAUGUAUUGGUUUUUCUUUCUCUGUGUUAACAAAA
rnacentral:lncRNA from 1 species